rnacentral:lncRNA from 1 species
UUAGACAACAAUAGCCCCAUAGAGAUACUUAAGAGUUUCUAUCCACACUUUAGAACCUCAAAUGGGCUCACUCCUAAGGUAUUUGGGUGCACUGCAUUUGUUCAUUGUUGAGCUAUAAAUAGAAUAGGAGAAUUUUUUUUCCUAUUAUGUUAGUUUCCUAUUUCUGUAAAUAGAUAGGUUUAUUAGUUUCUUAUUUUUGUAAAUAGAUAGUUUUAUGAUUUAGAAAUAAAUUAGUUUAGGAAUAAGUUAGUUUCCUAUUAUGUCUCUUGUUUCCUAUUUCUUCUCUUGUAAUCUCCUAUAUAAACCGUGUGUAUAGU